UACAGAGGUCUCAAGCGUUGUUCGGAUUCAUUGGGCGUAAAGGGUGCGUAGGCGGGCGGGGUAAGUCUGGUGUGAAAUCUCGGAGCUCAACUCCGAAAUUGCACUGGAUACUGCUCUGCUAGAGGGCUGGAGAGGAGAUCGGAAUUCACGGUGUAGCAGUGAAAUGCGUAGAUAUCGUGAGGAAGACCAGUGGCGAAGGCGGAUCUCUGGACAGCUCCUGACGCUGAGGCGCGAAGGUCAGGGGAGCAAACGGG
rnacentral:rRNA from 1 species